rnacentral:rRNA from 1 species
GAUGAACGCUGGCGGCGUGCCUAAUACAUGCAAGUCGAGCGAACGGACGAGAAGCUUGCUUCUCUGAUGUUAGCGGCGGACGGGUGAGUAACACGUGGAUAACCUACCUAUAAGACUGGGAUAACUUCGGGAAACCGGAGCUAAUACCGGAUAAUAUUUUGAGCCGCAUGGUUCAAAAGUGAAAGACGGUCUUGCUGUCACUUAUAGAUGGAUCCGCGCUGCAUUAGCUAGUUGGUAAGGUAACGGCUUACCAAGGCAACGAUGCAUAGCCGACCUGAGAGGGUGAUCGGCCACACUGGAACUGAGACACGGUCCAGACUCCUACGGGAGGCAGCAGUAGGGAAUCUUCCGCAAAGGGCGAAAGCCUGACGGAGCAACGCCGCGUGAGUGAUGAAGGUCUUCGGAUCGUAAAACUCUGUUAUUAGGGAAGAACAUAUGUGUAAGUAACUGUGCACAUCUUGACGGUACCUAAUCAGAAAGCCACGGCUAACUACGUG